AGUGAACGCUGGCGGCGUGCUUAACACAUGCAAGUCGAACGAGAACGGAUUAUAGCUUGCUAUAAUUGUCAGCUAAGUGGCGCACGGGUGAGUAAUGUAUAGGUAAUAUGCCUCUUACUAAGGGAUAACAAAUGGAAACGUUUGCUAAUACCUUAUACUCCUUAUUAACAGAAGUUAAUAAGGGAAAGAUUUAUUGGUAAGAGAUUAGCCUGUAUUGUAUCAGUUAGUUGGUGGGGUAAUGGCUUACCAAGACUAUGAAACAUAACUGGUUUGAGAGGAUGAUCAGUCACACUGGAACUGAGACACGGUCCAGACUCCUACGGGAGGCAGCAGUGGGGAAUAUUGCACAAUGGACGAAAGUCUGAUGCAGCAACGCCGCGUGGAGGACGACACAUUUCGGUGCGUAAACUCCUUUUAUAUGAGAAGAUAAUGACGGUAUUAUAUGAAUAAGCACCGGCUAACUCCGUGCCAGCAGCCGCCGUAAAAC
rnacentral:rRNA from 1 species